GACGAACGCUGGCGGCGUGCUUAACACAUGCAAGUCGAGCGGUAAGGCCCUUUCGGGGGUACACGAGCGGCGAACGGGUGAGUAACACGUGGGUGACCUGCCCUUAGCUCUGGGAUAAGCCUGGGAAACUGGGUCUAAUACCGGAUAUGACUCCAUGACGCAUGUUGUGGGGUGGAAAGCCUUGUGCGGCUAGGGAUGGGCCCGCGGCCUAUCAGCUUGUUGGUGGGGUGAUGGCCACCAAGGCGACGACGGGUAGCCGGCCUGAGGAGGCGACCGGCCACACUGGGACUGAGACACGGCCCAGACUCCUACGGGAGGCAGCAGGUGGGGAAUCUUGCGCAAUGGGCGAAAGCCUGACGCAGCGACGCCGCGUGGGGAUGACGCC
rnacentral:rRNA from 1 species